AUGGGCUCCAGGCUCCUCUGCUGUGUGGCCCUGUGUCUCCUGGAGACAGACCCAGUGGAAUCUGAAGUUGUCCAAAUCCCCAAGCACCUGAUCAAAGCAAGAAGACAGCCAGUGACCCUGAAGUGUUCCUAUGAAUCUGGACAUUACGCCUUGUACUGGUACCAGCAGACCCAGGCCCAAGGCCUCCAGUUUCUGGUGCAGUAUUACAAUGGGCAACUGAAUGAGAAGGGAAUUCUCCCUGCCAACUUCUCAGUCCAGCAAUUCAGCAAUGACCAUCGCUCUGAGCUGACUGUGAGCUCCCUGGAACCAGAAGACUCAGCCCUGUAUCUCUGUGCCAGCAGCAUAGCACAGCCCUGUACCAGCAGCAGCCUAGAACACAAAAACCUUCCUGCCCAGCUCAGGAAGUGA